rnacentral:rRNA from 1 species
GACGAACGCUGGCGGCGUGCUUAACACAUGCGAGUCGAACGGAAAGGCCCUGCUUUUGUGGGGUGCUCGAGUGGCGAACGGGUGAGUAACACGUGAGUAACCUGCCCUUGACUUUGGGAUAACUUCAGGAAACUGGGGCUAAUACCGGCUAGGAGCUCCUGCUGCAUGGUGGGGGUUGGAAAGUUUCGGCGGUUGGGGAUGGACUCGCGGCUUAUCAGCUUGUUGGUGGGGUAGUGGCUUACCAAGGCUUUGACGGGUAGCCGGCCUGAGAGGGUGACCGGCCACAUUGGGACGGAGAUACGGCCCAGACUCCUACGGGAGGCAGCAGUGGGGAAUAGUGCACAAUGGGCGGAAGCCUGAUGCAGCAACGCCGCGUGCGGGAUGACGGCCUGCGGUUUGUAUACCGCUUUCGCCUGUGACGAAGCGUGAGUGACGGUAAUGGGUAAAGAAGCACCGGCUAACUACGUG